GGCCCCGUAGCUCAGUCGGAUAGAGCAGCAGCCUUCUAAGCUGAAGGUCCCAGGUUCGAGUCCUGGCGGGGUCGCCA
rnacentral:tRNA from 2 species